rnacentral:rRNA from 1 species
UAGCAUAUCACUAAGCGGAGGAGAAGAAACUAACCAGGAUUUCCCUAGUAACGGCGAGCGAACCGGAAAGAGCCCAGCUUGAAAAUCGCGCCGCCUUCGGCGGCGCGAAGUGUAGCCUGGAGAAGGUCCCUCUGCGGCGCGCCGGACCCAAGUUCCCUGGAACGGGACGUCAGAGAGGGUGAAAACCCCGUCGAGUCCGGACCCGCGCCGCUCCACGAGGACCUGUCUGCGAGUCGGACUGUUUGGGAAUGCAGUCCUAAGUGGGUGGUAAAUUCCAUCCAAGGCUAAAUAUUGGCAAGAGACCGAUAGCGAACAAGUACCGCGAGGGAAAGAUGAAAAGGACUUUGAAAAGAGAGUUAAAAAGUGCUUGAAAUUGCUGGGAGGGAAGCGAAUGGAAGCUGCGGGUGCGCCCCGGUUGGAUGUGGAACGGGACCCCGGUCCUGGUCCGCCGCUCAACGCGGGGCGCUGGUCAGCGUGGGCUGUCGCGGCGGGACAAACCGGGGGGGCCUGACCCCCAAGGCCCCCCGCCGAAGGUUAUGCCGUUGCGACGGCCGAGGAACGAAGCGCGCGAGCACUCGUGCUCGUGGGACUCCGGUCCCAACUGCGCGCUCGGGACGCUGGCGCAUUGAGCUCUUCAUCCGACCCGUCUUGAAACACGGACCAAGGAGUCUAACAUGUAUGCGAGCCCGUGGGCGGCAAACCCAUCGAGGCGCAAGUAAACUGACAGGUGGGAGGGUGGAAACACUCGCACCAUCGACCGACCGUGAUCUUCUGUGAAAGGUUUGAGUGUGAGCACACAUGUUGGGACCCGAAAGAUGGUGAACUAUGCCUGAGCAGGGCGAAGCCAGAGGAAACUCUGGUGGAGGCUCGUAGCGAUACUGACGUGCAAAUCGUUCGUCAGACUUGGGUAUAGGGGCGAAAGACUAAUCGAACCAUCUAGUAGCUGGUUCCCUCCGAAGUUUCCCUCAGGAUAGCUGGAGCUCGCCGUCGCGAGUUUUAUCAGGUAAAGCGAAUGAUUAGAGGCAUCGGGGGUGUAACACCCUCGACCUAUUCUCAAACUUUAAAUGGGUAAGCCGCCGGGGUUGCUUCGCCUUGAACCCCGGCACAGAAUCGAGAGCUCCAAGUGGGCCAUUUUUGGUAAGCAGAACUG